AUCUUUUCUGCAAAGAGGUUGAAACCUUGGGAUCAAUUAGACACAGAUUGGCAACCAAGAAGCAAUUCCAGAUUGUGAUUUUGAAAUUUCUUAAUCUUUGAUGUCGUCACUACAUUUGGGUUAAAAGCAUGACACUUCUACAAAUAAAUUAGGAAAAAAGUUGCCCAAGAUAAUGGAAGAAGCCAAAAAAAAAAAUCAAAUGAGAUGCUCUCUCUUUCCUCCGGCCACACCACCAUCUUCUCUAACGAGCCACCACCACCAUCAUUGUAGGCAUAAUGGUCCACAAAUAUCUCUUACCCAAAUGGACUAAUUGUUAUAGUGAAUUUUCAUAAUAAAUCCUCAUCAAACCAUACAAGAAGAUGAAAAAUUUUGUAUCAUGAAUUGGAACAAAAUUGAGAAUUUGGCCGGAGCUUUCCCGACGUUCAAAACAAUUAUUCUAGUCUCUCUCUCUCCCUCUCUUCGUAUUCUCGCCCCUUUCUUGCUUUCAUCGCCGACUGUGGCGCGGUUGGUGUAGGUGUGGGGACGCUGUGGGAUGGUGGUGAUGGUGUUGCCGUUGUGGAACUUGUUGGGUAACUGAGUCAACUUAACAAAUUUGGGUUUGUGAUGCGGCUUUGAUGACACACUGAGUCAACUCAAUAAAAGGGUAGAAUAGAAAGAUAAAAGGGCAAAUUAGGAUUUUUAAAUUUAUUUUAUGUCAAUUUUGAUCAAAAAGUGGUAAGAGGGACUAGGUCGGCACUUUUUUUUUUGAAUUUUGUAGACUUGCAUGUAUAUUUUUAAAAAAUAGGGACUAAUUUUACACAAAACCUAUAUAUCAGAGUUUUUUUUGCACUUAACCUUUUAAUCUCUUAAAACAGUAUAAUUUUUAAGUCAUUUUAUCCAUCUAUAAUAAUUGAAGUCAAGAUAUACUAAAAAAUUUACUUAUCAAAAGAACAUUACAACCCAUAUAAAGUUACAUUUUUUAAGCUCCAUCUAUAAAUGUUUUAAGCUUCAUUUUUUGAAAUUCCACUUAUAAUUUAUAUGCCAAAAUUGGAUAUAAUUAAUCUCCACAUAGGUCCGCAUGGACUAGGGUUUAGAAACUGAGUCAAGCAUCUUUGCGCUUGGGGCAACACAUUUCUCGAGAUGAGAGACAUUUCCGGAGCGAGGGACAAGCAAAGGGACGAUUAGGGUUUUGGAGGGUUUUGCACAUCUUUUCAUCACACGUGGAUAGUUUGAGAGAGGAAGCGGAGGACUAGGGUUUAAUUUUUCUGUAUUCGUUAAUUGAUGAGCAGUGACUAUACGAAAAACAAGUGAAGCGGGACAACACCCAUGAACCAUCUACAAGGUAUUUUUCAUAUCUAAACUUCUAGGGUUAGGGAUUUGUUUCACCUUUUUCUCAAUCCUUCUCCCGAGUCAGGUUAGGGUUAGGGAUUUCGUCAUUCCACUCUUUAUUUUCGCUUUGAUCCGUUUGAUUAUUUAUUUUAUUGGAGAAAUUUUGAUUGUGAUUUGUGGAUAUGCAUGCCAUAGGUAGUAGUGAUUGGAAUAUGGCAGGUACUUUAUGUGUUAUUAAUUAGUGAACAUGGUCAACUAAAACUAAAGCAUAUUGUAUUGAAAAUUCAUGAGCCUGACGAGAUCCAUCUGGGUUUAUUGUUUCCAAUUUAACGUAGUAGGUGCAUUUUAGUUAUGUGUAACUUUUUAAAUUGAUGAUGAUGGUGAGCUCAUGACUUCCAUGAUCCGUCCAAUCUGUAGUAGAUACAUGCAAGUGCAUGUCUAGCCUUCCAUGGCUUCCAAAAGCUUUCGAUUUUGUGUGUAAUGGCAUUUUAUUUAGAGAAUAAGUACUUAACAAAAGUUUCUUAAAAAAUUAAUACAAUGAAAUCCAUAUUCAAUCAUAAAGAAUAAUCCAAUAUCAUAAACCAAGAAUUUUUGGUAAUACAUAACCUUUAGUUCAAGAGGAAGUCUGACUGUCACGGAAGCUAAGAGGUAGGAUAAACCACAAUAACUGAAGGAUAAAUGAAGGCUUUCCUUUCCGUGUUGGAAAAGAAAAGGGAGUCAAUUCCGAGGUGGAUGCUACGACCGAUGUAACAUCUAUAAAUAAGGGGCCGGUACGUCGACCUACCAAGGUACAAGACAAUUCCGUACUCAACUGUUUUUUCUUCUUCUUAUUUAUUGUCAAGAACUAACUUGAACGUCGGAGACCCUUAGGCCGGUACCGCACCAGUGCCCCUGCGAUUACUUUCUCUUCUUUUUCAGAUAUGACACUGUUCCAGAUCGCUGCGAAUUCAUUCAUCAACAUUUGAUGAAUUAGUGGAGAAGAAAGAGCCCAAGUGAUUGAAGGAAGAAGCCCAAGUGUACUAUAAACUAAUUUCUUGGCGCCUCUGAAGCGUUGUAAGUUAGAUUUGGGAGGUUAUCAUGUAGAAGAGACUUCUAAAUAUAAAGGGUACAAAGUUGUGAUCAAUUCACCGUCUUCAGUUUCUUACUCUCUGGGAAGACUACUUGCCUUGCUA